rnacentral:snRNA from 1 species
CAAUGCUUGCUUGAGCCAUUGCUUUACUAAAAUUAGUACAACACAGGGAAGAUUAGCAUCAUCCCUUUACAAGAAUGCAGGCAAAUCCAUGAAGUGUUGCACAUUUCU